rnacentral:SRP_RNA from 1 species
GCCAGGCAUGAUGGCACGUGCCUGUAGUCCCAGCUACUUGGGAGACUUAGGCAGGAGGAUAGCUUGAAUCCAGGAGUUCUGGGUUGUAGUGCCCGAGGCCAAACAGGUGACUGCACUAAGUUUGGUAUCAACAUGGUGACCUCCCAUGAGUAGGGGGACCACCAGGUUGCCUAAGAGGGGUGAACAGGCCCACGUCAGAAAUGGAACAGAUCAAAAUGCCUAUGCUGAAAUGUAUAAACCCCAUCUUAAAAACACUCAACAGUCUAGUUUCACAAAACAUCCUAAU